AACGGCGAGUGAAGCGGGAAGAGCUCAAAUUUGAAAUCUUCAAGGUUUUACCUUGACGAAUUGUAGUUUAAAGAAGUGUUUUCUGUUGAAGUUUUGGUAAAAGUUCUUUGGAAUAGGACAUCAUAGAGGGUGAGAAUCCCGUAUUUGACCAUUAUUUUCAGCUGUGUGAUACACUUUCAAAGAGUCGGAUUGUUUGGGAAUGCAGUCCAAAAUGGGUGGUAAAUUUCAUCUAAAGCUAAAUAUUGGCGAGAGACCGAUAGCGAACAAGUACCGUGAGGGAAAGAUGAAAAGAACUUUGAAAAGAGAGUUAAACAGUACGUGAAAUUGUCAAAAGGGAAGCGUUUGACACCAGUGUUGUUUUCUCGAAAAUCAAUUAAAAAAAGUUGGAUUUUGUGUUUGUAUGACCUUAACAGCUUCUUUCACUUUUUUCCUGCUUUUUUUAAUGCACUUUUCGUUUAACAAGUCAACAUCAGUUUCUUUUGUUGUAAAAAGGUCAUUGGAAGGUGGCUUUCUUUUCGGAGAAAGUGUUUAUAGCCUUUGACUCCUGCAAUCGGAGAGACUGAGGUCUGCAGCGUAGAUCCUUCGGGGUUAGAUACAUUUGUGCUAAGUUAUAGCUUUUCAUAGACAACUUGUUGACUAUGAUUAGUCAUGUAGCUUACUCGCUUAUGCUAUUUUACCUAC
rnacentral:rRNA from 1 species